rnacentral:rRNA from 1 species
UACGUAGUUAGCCGUGGCUUAUUCAAGGGGUACCGUCUUCUGCUCUUCCCCCUUAAAAGAAGUUUACAACCCGAAAGCCUUCUUCCUUCACGCGGCGUUGCUGGGUCAGGCUUGCGCCCAUUGCCCAAUAUUCCCCACUGCUGCCUCCCGUAGGAGUCUGGGCCGUAUCUCAGUCCCAAUGUGGCCGGUCAACCUCUCAGUCCGGCUACUGAUCGUCGCCUAGGUGGGCCGUUACCCCGCCUACUAGCUAAUCAGACGCGAGGCCAUCUUCCAGCGAUAAAUCUUUGACAUGUCCGUGAUGCCACGGCCAUGUGUCAUGCGGUAUUAGCAGUCGUUUCCAACUGUUGUCCCCCUCUGGAAGGCAGGUUCCUCACGCGUUACUCACCAGUCCGCCACUAAGCAUUCCCUUCCAUUGUCCGAAAACUCUUUCAGGGGUGCUCCGUUCGACUUGCAUGUGUUAAGCACGCCGCCAGCGUUCGUCCUGAGCCAGGACUCAAACUCU